AUGAACGUUGGCGGCGUGGAUUAGGCAUGCAAGUCGAGCGAGAACCCAGCAAUGGGGGACAGCGGCGCAAGGGACAGUAAUGUGUAGAUCAUCUGCCCUCAGGCCCGGGAUAGCUGCGGGAAACUGCAGGUAAUACCGGAUAACAUCUCCGGAUCAAAGGUGUGAUUCCGCCUGAGGAUGAGUCUACAUCCUAUUAGCUAGUUGGCAGGGUAACGGCCUACCAAGGCGAUGAUGGGUAGCGGGUGUGAGAGCACGACCCGCGUCAUUGGGACUGAGACACUGCCCAGACACCUACGGGUGGCUGCAGUCGAGAAUCUUCGGCAAUGGGCGCAAGCCUGACCGAGCGACGCCGCGUGCGGGAUGAAGGCCUUCGGGUUGUAAACUACUGUCAGCAGGGAAGAAUAGGUGCUUGGUUAAUAACCAGGCAUUUUGACGGUACCUGCAGAGGAAGCCACGGCUAACUUCGU
rnacentral:rRNA from 1 species